UACGUAGGGGGCAAGCGUUGUCCGGAUUUAUUGGGCGUAAAGAGCGUGUAGGCGGCAGACAGUCAGCUGUGAAAACUCGGAGGCUCAACCUCGAGACGUCGGUUGAAACCGUCUGGCUAGAGUCCGGAAGAGGGAGAGUGGAAUUCCCGGUGUAGCGGUGAAAUGCGCAGAUAUCGGGAAGAACACCCGUGGCGAAGGCGGCUACUCGUGGGACGGUACUGACGCUGAGACGCGAAACGAUGGGGAGC
rnacentral:rRNA from 1 species